UACGUAGGGGCCGAGCGUUGUCCGGAAUCAUUGGGCGUAAAGAGCGUGUAGGCGGCUACUUAAGUCUUGCGUGAAAUCUCGGGGCUCAACCCCGAGCGGUCGUGAGAAACUGGGUAGCUAGAGUGCGGGAGAGGAGAGUGGAAUUCCUGGUGUAGCGGUGGAAUGCGCAGAUAUCAGGAAGAACACCGGUGGCGAAGGCGGGACUCUGGGCCGAUACUGACGCUGAGGAGCGAAAGCGUGGGGAGCAAACAGG
rnacentral:rRNA from 1 species